rnacentral:rRNA from 1 species
GACGAACGCUGGCGGCGUGCCUAAUACAUGCAAGUCGAACGCAGUGGGGACGGGUGAGUAACACGUGGGUAACCUCCCAUCAGAGGGGAGAACACUUCGAAACAGGUGCUAAACCGAUACUGAUGGAUGGAGCCGCGGUGCAUUAGCUAGUUGGUGAGGUAACGGCUCACCAAGGCCACGUUGCAUAGCCGACCUGAGAGGGUGAUCGGCCAAACUGGGACUUAGACACGGCCAAGACUCCGACGGUAGGAAGGAGUAGGGAAUCUGUGGCAAUGGACGAAAGUCUGACCGAGCAAUGCCGCGUGAGUGAAGAAGGUUUUCGGAUCGUAAAACUCUGUUGUUAGAGAAGCGGUAUCUAACCAGAAAGCCACGGCUAACUACGUGCCAGCCGCCGCGGGAAUAC